AUUGAACGCUGGCGGCAGGCCUAACACAUGCAAGUCGAACGGUAACAGGAAGAAGCUUGCUUCUUUGCUGACGAGUGGCGGACGGGUGAGUAAUGUCUGGGAAACUGCCUGAUGGAGGGGGAUAACUACUGGAAACGGUAGCUAAUACCGCAUAACGUCGCAAGACCAAAGAGGGGGACCUUCGGGCCUCUUGCCAUCGGAUGUGCCCAGAUGGGAUUAGCUAGUAGGUGGGGUAACGGCUCACCUAGGCGACGAUCCCUAACUGGUCUGAGAGGAUGACCAGCCACACUGGAACUGAGACACGGUCCAGACUCCUACGGGAGGCAGCAGUGGGGAAUAUUGCACAAUGGGCGCAAGCCUGAUGCAGCCAUGCCGCGUGUAUGAAGAAGGCCUUCGGGUUGUAAAGUACUUUCAGCGGGGAGGAAGGGAGUAAAGUUAAUACCUUUGCUCAUUGACGUUACCCGCAGAAGAAGCACCGGCUAACUCCGUG
rnacentral:rRNA from 1 species